UCAAGUAGUGGUGAAAAAGAGUGUGAAUGAAAGGAAUUGGGGGAUCCAGCUUCUUUUGCAGUCUUGAUUUAUUUUUAAUUGUCAAAUCUGUAAAUAAAAAGUACCCUAACUAACAUUCACAGCCCAUUCCAAACUCAGACCAGAGACGAAUUCAACCCAAAUUACAACUAAUGUGUUUUGUCUCCUCUCUCCUUAGUCGACAGCAAGUCGCCGUUGCAGCUGUCGCCAUUUCUGUUGCCACCAUUACCAUCCUUGUACCUCUCUCCUUAGUCGACAGCAAGUCGCUGUUGCAGCUGUCGCCGUUUCUGUUGCCACCAUUACCAUCCUUGUAUAGAGGUAUUUAACUCUCCUCUUAGCUCUUAUAUGUUAUUGAAUUAUUACUAAUUUAUUUGAAUCUGAAUUACUACUAAGUUAUUUGAAUCAGC
rnacentral:lncRNA from 1 species